rnacentral:lncRNA from 1 species
UACUUAUUUUUAAUGCUUUUUGACGUAUGUACAGCCAUUUCUUUUCGUCCCAUACCUCAUUGCUCCUCAGGGAAUCCUAUAUUCCUUCCUGUCCCCCUUCCUAGCCCUUUUACUGCUGCUUAUUCUCUUGCUUUCUUCUGUUACCUGCAGUUCCCUUUAAAUGAGUUUGGACUGCUAGAAAUCAUUACUGAAGUAGAAGCAGAAGCCAUAAAACCUCUUUCAGCAGUAAAUGCCAGCCCAACCAGCUUUGCUCCUCCUGCUCCCAACGCUUCCGCUGCCUCUAGCCCUGCUUUGGAAGUGUUCAGAGACGAUAUCCCCUGCUGCGUUUUCCAAACCUUUGAGCAAAUGGAUUGCUCUGAGAAUGGAAAGUUUUAUACUCAAACAGGCUCCCAGCAGCACAGGGACAGUGAUACCAGAAACAUUCCAGAUGAUUGCAGAAACAGGGGAAAUAGUAGAAAUCUUAAUACCAGCAGUGGCUGUCAGGUGAAUGAGGCUGACAGACCCGUGAAACGUCUCAGGAGGAAGAGAAGACUGCUUCUGGAGUCUGAGGAUGAUGAGGAAAAUGCAGAUGAGGAUGAGGAGAAGAAUAAAUCAAAUAAUAUGAAAAGCCGCAGAAACACUAAACCAAUAAAACAAGGUGAGCUAAGCUCAUAGUCUCUUUUCUUUAAUGUUUAUAGAUUUUUUUACUAGCUAUUAUAAAGUGAAUAAUAGUAAAGAGAAGAGGAAAGGACAGUAGAGCUCAUUUCACAUUCAGAAUAGCUUAUUAGGUCC